ACUCUGAUCAUAGUAAUGUUAAAUAUUUGGAUCCCAAAAAGAUACCAUAAUACAUCAAUGUAUUGACUAAAAUAGUAUAAAGUAAAGGAAAUGUUUCUAUAAGGAAUAUUUUGGGAAUGCUUCUGUGACCAUUACUUAUGUUGGCAUGCAUAUAUAUUGUACAAUACUUAAAUAUGCUACCAUUGCCAAUGAUGGUGGGAGAAAAGACAAUAAUACAUUAGGAAGACUCUUGAAGGAACUGAAGAAAGCAUUAUCUACAGUCAAGGACGUGAAUUAUAUAGAAAACGAAUUAAAAGAGAAAAUCCAAAACAAUAAAGGAUAGAGGAAGAAUCGAAUCUUAACAGCAAAAUCAUGGAGAAAGAACAAUGAGUUAAAGGAUCAUUCACAAGAGAUUUUUCAUCAAAGGUAGUUUCUCAUUUUGUAUUACAGAAAAAAUAGAAAAUUUUCAAUAUUUAGAAGAUCAUCCUCAAAUUGUCGAACAUGAAUUGCACAAGUAAAAAUUAAUACGCAAAAAUUACAUGAGCAUAAUGUAAUCCUUUGAUGCAUAAGUAUAUUUUGAAAAUGAGGUAGAAAAAUACUGUGAAUUUCACAGUCAUUUUGACAAGACGUUGAAAAGGAACCGCAAGAAAACAAAAUAUGGAAAUGGAAUAAAAGAUUCAGACCAAAUAAUCUGGAUUUAGACCAUCAAAGAAAAGAGCCUUCAAUAAUACGGAACAAGCAACAAGGAUGUUAUACAAAAGCGAGCCUCUUGUGAUAGUCAAAUUUAGCAGCAACUAAUGAUACGACAGCUUACAGACUGCAACAAAGUAUUCUAAGAUUUACACAUCAACGAUGAAGUAAGAAGUAACGUUUUAUAUCAAAAGUCGAGCUCGGAAUUGCGACAAAUAGAAACACUGAAUAAAAUAAGCACUAAGUCACACAUUUCAGAUAAUUGAAAGGAUGAAGCUAUUACAUAUAUGUAAUCUAAUAUUGAAUCACCGCUUUGACGAAAUAAUGAUUGAACACCGAAUGGUACCAUGAAAAAGGAUAUUAAUCAGAAACAGCAUAGUAAUAACACAAACACAUUCUGGUCAAAAUCACUUGUCAGCUGAUUGAUUUUUAAACGUAAUGGUUAUUGAAAUAACAAUCGAAAACAAGAAAGUUACUCAAAAUUCAUCUUUAGAUUGCUGCAAUUAACAAGUAGAUUUGCCGCGCUUCUUAUGGCCCGCCCUUCCAUUGUCUUUUGUUAUCUACAAAUUCUUUUGUUACCUACAAAUCAGGUCGUUAAGGUUUGGAAGAGAAACGGGCAGUAGGAAAUAGAACGUAGACGAGAGAAGUAGCACGAGAGUGUAGUAUAAAAUUUAACCAGUGUAAAUAGUAAACAUAAAUUGUCGGUUCUUUGUUCACAGAUAAGAUUGUAAAUAACAAAUAAAUUUUAAUUAACAAAUAAAGAUUUAUUC